GAAGGCGAGCUGGAUGCCUCUCUGCUCUGAAGGUGUUUCAUGGAGACCAGUUCCCCGAUUUUCACAUGUCCCCUGGCUGCACUUUAACAGGUGGCACUGCAGAGCAUGAGGGUUGGGACUUGCUGAUCAUCCCCUUUGGCAGCUCUCUCCAAAAUGCCUGGUCCCCAGGGCUCUCCCAGAGGGGGAAGAGAUCCCAGGCUGCAGUUGGAAGCAUGAAGAGGAGACGUGGCAGAGGGCUGACGCUCUGAGUUUGCCACUACCGAUGUGUGCACCAGCAAGCAGGACUGGCCGAGUGCCAGCGCUUAUCCAGUAAACUGCCAUCCUGUUACUGUCACCUCCUGGCAGCUGAGGACACCCUGAUUCCAAAAUUUGAUGGCCGACUUCCAAGCCUGCCGCUGCCGGGGUGCGAUCACCGAGGGAACGCGAGCGCUGAGCAGCCGCGGUUUAAAUGUCACCGCCGGGGAAAACCCACCGCUUCUGAGCAGGGCUGGCUGCCCUCGGCAGGAGAAGAGGAAAAGUGCAGCCGGUCAAACGGCCCGGUGCCCGCUGUGGGGGGUGGCGGGGGGUGCAGCCGCCCUUCUCUCUCCCUCUGCACCCUCCGAGCAACGCUCCGGUCCCCUCCCCUCCCUCCCCCCCCAAGCUCUGGGGAGAGGGGUGGUCAGUACCGGCGGCGUGUCCCGGAUGGGGACCGGGAUCGGAAAGAACUGGUGAUGGCACGAAGCUAUUCUGCGAGUGCCAUCCAGGGGACGAGAGCUGUACUUCAGCUGCCGGCGGGGCUUGGGGGGGGACGACACACACGGCUCCAGGGAAGGUGCGGGGCGGGUUAACGCGUGACUUUCUGGGGCUGUGGAUCUUCAUUAGGUGGAGGCAAGCGAAGUGAGAUGCCUGAAACUUUCCAGAGCCCACCCAGAGCUCAGCCUGGCCACGGGACGGGGUUGCAAGUGGAAUUGGUAAGGUGAGGAGUGUCAGGAGUUUCUGAAGUGACCAUAACCUCCUCAGCCAGUUUAAAAAUCCUAAUUCUGGCAGUUAAAGUUUGUGUAUCCCCCACCCCUAGGACCCCUCGCGAUCCCUGUCCCCGAGAGCUGCUCAAACCUUGGGGCUAUUGCUUCAAAAAGCACCUGAGCCUCAGAGGGAAAACGCAUCCUGCGCUGCUGCCCAUCACCAUCCCGGGACUACAAGGUGUUUAACGGGCAUAAAACACGA